UACGUAGGGUGCGAGCGUUAAUCGGAAUUACUGGGCGUAAAGCGUGCGCAGGCGGUUUUGUAAGCCAGAUGUGAAAUCCCCGGGCUUAACCUGGGAAUGGCAUUUGGGACUGCAAGGCUUGAGUGCGGCAGAGGAGACUGGAAUUCCUGGUGUAGCAGUGAAAUGCGUAGAUAUUACUCGGAAGGCCAAAGGCGAAGGCAGGUUACUGGUACGCAACUGACGCUGAUGCACGAAAGCGUGGGGAGCAAACAGG
rnacentral:rRNA from 1 species